rnacentral:rRNA from 1 species
CUCAAAUUUGAAAUCUGGCUCUUUCAGGGUCCGAGUUGUAAUUUGUAGAGGAUGUUUCGGGUGUGGCUCCGGUCUAAGUUCCUUGGAACAGGACGUCAUAGAGGGUGAGAAUCCCGUAUGUGACUGGUAGCCUAUGCCCAUGUGAAACUCCUUCGACGAGUCGAGUUGUUUGGGAAUGCAGCUCAAAAUGGGUGGUAAAUUUCAUCUAAAGCUAAAUAUUGGCCAGAGACCGAUAGCGCACAAGUAGAGUGAUCGAAAGAUGAAAAGCACUUUGGAAAGAGAGUUAAACAGUACGUGAAAUUGUUGAAAGGGAAGCGCUUGCAACCAGACUUGCAUGUAGCUGAUCAACCGGUGUUCUCACCGGUGCACUCAGUUGCGUUCAGGCCAGCAUCGGUUUCGACGGUUGGAUAAAGGCCUUGGGAAUGUAGCUCCUUUCGGGGAGUGUUAUAGCCCAGGGUGCAAUGCAGCCUGUCG